rnacentral:rRNA from 1 species
AUUAAUAAUUAAUAUAUUUAAUAAAAAUAAUUUUAAUUUAAUAAGUAUUUUAAUGGGGGUUAAAGUAUUUUUUAAAGAAAAAAUUUUUAAAUUUAUAGUUAAUUAGUAUUGUGAAAGAAUUUUGAAAUAUUAUGAAAAAUAAAAUUUUUAGAAAGUAAUUUUUAUUUAUUGUAUCUUGUGUAUCAGAGUUUAUUAAAAAUUUUUAAUUUAUGAAUUAAUUUCUCGAAUUUAAAAGAGUUAAAUAAUUAUUAAAGUUAUUGUAGCAAAAUUAUUUUAAAUAAUUAUUUAGAAAUGAAAUGUUAAUCGUUUUUAAAUAUAUCUAGUUUUUAUAGAAAAAAAUUUAAUUUUAAAUUUAAAAAUUAUUUAAUUAAUUUAUUAAUUAAAUAGUUACUUAAAUUUUAUAAUUUAAGGGAUAAGCUUUAAAUUAAAUUUUUAUAAUAUUAAAUUUUUAUUUUGAAAAUUUUAUAAUUUAUAUUGUUAAUAAAUUUUAUUUUGUUAUAAAUAAUUUCAUUUUUUUUAAAAUUUAAAUUUUAUUUAAUUUUUUAUAUAAAAUUUAUUUAUAAUUAUAUAAAGUUAAUUAUAAUGAUAAAAUUAGUAUAUUAUUUAAUAUUAAAUUAAAAUUAAUUUUUGAUUAAUAAUUAAAUUAAUUAAAAGGAAUUCGGCAAAUAUUUAUUUUCACUUGUUUAUCAAAAACAUGUCUUUUUGUUAUUUAAUUUAAAGUCUAAUCUGCCCACUGAUUUAUAAAAAUUGAAGGGCUGCAGUAUAUUGACUGUACAAAGGUAGCAUAAUCAUUAGUCUCUUAAUUGGUGACUUGUAUGAAAGAUUGGAUGAAAAAUAUACUGUCUCUUAAUUAAUAUAUAGAAUUUAAUUUUUUAUUUAAAAAGUUAAAAUAACUUAAAAAGACGAGGAGACCCUAUAGAGUUUAAUAAAUUAUUUUAUGAAAGUUUUAUUUAUAUUUAUUAAUAAUUUUAUAAAUUUAUUUAUUUAGUUGGGGUGAUAAAAAAAUAAAUUUAACUUUUUUUAAGUAAUUUACAUGGAUAAGUGAUUAAU